rnacentral:rRNA from 1 species
AGAGUUUGAUUAUGGCUCAGGACGAACGCUGGCGGCGUGCUUCAUACAUGCAAGUCGAACGAGAAGCUGACUUCGGUCAGUGGAAAGUGGCGGACGGGUGAGUAAAAUGUAGAGAAUCUGCCCUAGAGAGGGGGACAACAGAGGGAAACUUCUGCUAAUACCCCAUAUGAGCGUACCUGAGAUGGUAUUCUUGAAAACUCCGGUGCUCUGGGAUGAGUCUGCAUCUGAUUAGCUAGUUGGGGGUGUAAUGGACCACCAAGGCGAUGAUCAGUAGCUGGUUUGAGAGGAUGAUCAGCCACAAUGGGACUGAGACACGGCCCAUACUCCUACGGGAGGCAGCAGUAGGGAAUUUUGCGCAAUGGGGGAAACCCUGACGCCAGCAACGCCGCGUGACCGCAGAAGCCCUUCGGGGUGUAAAGGUCUGUCAGUGGGGACGAACGAUGACGGUACCCACAGAGGAAGCACCGGCUAACUCCGUGCCAGCAGCCGC